rnacentral:rRNA from 1 species
AUGGGAGUCCCGGCGUUCUACAGGUGGCUGGCGGAUCGGUACCCCCAGACGGUGUCGGACGCGGAGGAGGAGGAGCCCGUGGAGCUCGAGCCCGGGGCCUUCGUCCCCGUCGACCCGCGCCGCCCCAACCCCAACGGCCUCGAGUUCGACAACCUCUACCUCGACAUGAACGGCAUCAUCCACCCCUGCUUCCACCCCGAGGGCCGGCCCUCCCCGACCACCUACGACGAGGUGUUCAAGUCGAUUUUUGACUACAUCGACCACCUCUUCUGCCUCGUCCGCCCCAGGAAGAUCCUCUACAUGGCGAUCGACGGUGUUGCGCCGAGAGCCAAGAUGAAUCAGCAGCGGUCCAGGCGGUUCCGGGCUGCGAAGGACGCGGCUGAUGCGGCGGCCGAGGAGGAAAGGCUGAGGCUGGAAUUCGAGGCGGAGGGGAGGAAUUUGGUCCGAAAGGAGAAGUCGGAGGCAAUCGACUCGAAUGUCAUAACUCCCGGGACGCCCUUCAUGUUUGUACUCUCUUCGGUGCUUCAGUACUACAUACAGUUGAGAUUGAAUCACUCCCCUGGGUGGCAGUCUGUCAAGGUAAUAUUGUCGGACUCAAAUGUUCCUGGAGAGGGGGAACAUAAGAUCAUGUCAUAUAUCCGUCUGCAGCGCAAUCUUCCAGGGUUUGACCCAAACACACGCCAUGUCUUAUAUGGCCUUGAUGCUGAUUUGAUCAUGCUUGCUCUGGCAACUCAUGAGGUCCACUUCUCAAUUUUAAGAGAGGUGAUCACCAUGCCAGGGCAACAUGAAAAAUGCUUUCUGUGUGGUCAAGUUGGGCAUUUGGCUGCUGAGUGCCAAGGCCCUGGUCCUGCUGAUAAUGUCGUGGAGCUCCCUCCAAUUCAUAAAAAGAAGUACCAGUUUCUUAACAUCUGGGUGCUGCGGGAAUACCUGGAGAAGGAUCUGGAGAUUGUAGAUCCCCCCUUCAAGAUAAACCUUGAACGCAUCUUGGAUGAUUUUGUGUUUCUCUGCUUCUUUGUUGGGAAUGACUUUCUGCCUCACAUGCCGACUUUGGAAAUUCGCGAGGGUGCCAUUAAUCUUCUGAUGAAUAUUUAUAGAGCAGAGUUCAAACCAAUGGGCGGUUACCUCACUGAUGGGGGUGAGGUUUUACUGGAACGAGUGGAGCAUUUCAUUCAGGCUGUUGCUAUCCAUGAAGAACAAAUUUUCCGGAAGCGUGCACGUAUUCAGAAGGCGUACGAGAACAACGAGGAUAGACGUAGAGCGCAGGGAGAGAACUCCGAGGAAAAUCAAUAUGUGGACAUGGUUAAACUAGGAGAGCCAGGAUACAGGGAGAGGUACUAUGCUGAGAAAUUUAGAGAAGAGGCAGAAUCAAAGCCCAUUGAUCAAGUUCAGAGAGAUGUUGUUCAGAAAUAUGCGGAAGGUCUUUGCUGGGUUAUGAGAUAUUAUUAUCAGGGUGUUUGUUCAUGGCAGUGGUUCUAUCCAUACCAUUAUGCGCCUUUUGCAUCUGACCUGAAAAAUUUGACUGAGUUUGAGAUAACCUUUUUCUUGGGUCAACCUUUCAAGCCAUUUGAUCAACUAAUGGGAACACUGCCAGCUGCUAGCUCUAAUGCACUGCCAAAGCACUACGGGGAUUUGAUGACUGAUCCAAAUUCACCGUUGAAUUAUUUCUAUCCCAAAGAUUUUGAAAUAGACAUGAAUGGAAAGCGUUUUGCAUGGCAGGGUAUUGCGAAAUUGCCUUUUAUUGAUGAAAGGCGGUUGCUUGCGGAGACACAGAAACUUGAAGAUACAUUAACAGAAGAAGAGAGAUUCAGGAAUACGACAAUGUUUGACAUAAUUUAUGUGCGGGAAACUCAUCCAUUGGCUGCUCAGAUUGCAUUCCUGUAUCAGAUGUACUCUCAACAAAUGAUAGCAGAUCCUUCCUAUUGUAUCCCCAUUGACCCUGCUGCUAGUGGCGGAAUGAAUGGAUUUCUUUGUUUAUCUCAAAGAAAUUGGUACAGCAUCUCUGUAGGAUCUCCAGUUAAGGGCUUCAAUGGCAUCACCAAUAACCGAGUUUUGAAUGCUACCUAUGUUAACCCUCAGUAUCACAAACACAUCCCGGAGCCUCCAGAGGGUGCCAUUAUACCUCCAAAGAUAUUGAAACCUUACGAUUUCAAACCUUUCCCUGUGUUGUGGCAUGAAGAUAAUAGUCGGCGACAGACACGAGACAGGCCUCAGGUGCAUGGAGCUCUGACAGGUUCUGUCUUAGGAGAGGCUGCACACCGUCUACUGAAAAAUUCCCUGCAGAUCAAAUCUGGCAGCUCUGCUGGGCUGCUUCAUGUUCCAUACGGAGCAGCACCCUAUGGCCCUGGAAACAGAGCAAGGCCCUCUGGACCUUUGGGAUAUGAGAGGGGUUUUGUGGACAACCCAUACCAUGCACACAUGUCCAGAAGCGCUCCAAAUCCUCGGCCUCAGUUCUUUGGUGAAGCUCAAGCCAACAGACAGAAUGUGCGGAUACUAGAGCGGCCAAACAAUCGAAACAAUGAUGGUGGCAUCCAUUCAGGGAUGUCAAAACUGACGAUUCAAGAUGGGCCAAGAAUGCAUCAAAAUCCCAGGAUGCAGAGUCCUGGAUAUUUUCCAAACCAGCCAUAUCCGAAUCAGUAUGGUGGGUUCCCACCCCAGCGGCCCAUGCAGAACGCCAAUUUUGCACCGCAGCGACCUUUCCAAAAUGCACCAUUCCCACAGCAGCGGCCUGUUCAGCAGCGGCCUGUUCAAAAUGCUGUAUUCCCACAGCAGAGGCCUGUUCAAAAUGCAGGAUUCAUGCAGCAGCAGCAGCAGCAGCAACCAGUGAACGGGGUUCCCCCACCACUACCUCCCAGCACUUGGAUCGGCAAGCAACCAAGCGGAGGCCAGGCUGGUACACCUGCCAAGCAGCAGGACCCAAGGGCAAAUAGACAGCCUAAGCAGGAUAAUAGACAGCCAAAGCAGGAUAACCUGAGAUCACAGCAUGAGAGCAGACAGCAGGCUGCCAAGGUGGUAUACCGUGUCAAAGGCCAAGCUCCCAAUGGCUUGCCAGAGUGA